UGGAAGCCGCCGUUACGCGUCACUCGGCGCACGAGCGCCCGCCGAUGAGACUGCCUUCUCCGAGGCUGUAGCAGAUCUCAGAUGAUGGGGUGUUGGCGUUCAUCCACAAUUAACCUUCAUUCAGUUUCAGAUGGUUUAUUUCUGCUCCUGUAUUUCCUGCUUUUUGCGCCACCCGCGCGCUCCCCGCGUUGGAGGGCUCUUCCGGUGCUAGCAGGAGGGGCUCACCUGCGCUCAGGUGUCUGCAGGUGCUCUCUUUACCGUGACUCAGCAGAACCUCACCUGUGGCAGCACGAGCCUCUUUCUUGUUCUGGAGUGGCCUCAGGUAAAAUAUAUGUCUUUGGCUAAAUGUGACAGUAGUUUGCUUUGGUCUAUAUUCGGUUAACAAACUGUAAAUAAAAACUAGAAUAGGAGCAAUUUACCUGCUGAAUCUAUUCAAACUUAUGCUGAGUUGUGAUAAAUAAUUGUUGUCUUAAGACACUAAAUGGAGCAAAGUGUGUCUGAUUGUUUACACCAUUUAAGACCCUUGAAAAUUGUGUUCUUAACAUCUUUAGGUUGCAUUUUCUGAUGAUGGACAAAUACAAAGACAAUAAAAAUAAAACCGCAUUUCUGAGUAUUUUUUAAAUUCAAAUCAUUGUAAAUUAGGAGCAGACAAAAAAAGGCAGUUUGAUACAGAAUGUUCUUCUUAACCAGAAAAUAUGCUGGGCGGGUCACAAGCUCCUUUCUGAUACAUGCAGACAGAUCGAUCCAUGUAUGUCUCUGUUUUCCUCAUCUGACCUGGAAUCUGGAUCAGAACUGGACGGCCGGAUAGCUCUGAUAUUUUUUGUUGCGCUAAUGACGUAGGUUGGGUGUGAGAGGGGCUGUAAGCUAGUGGGAGAGAGUGUAAAUAAAGACCUCUCAGCAACAGGAAGGGAAAGAACGGCAGAGUUGGUCUGCGUCAACGGUCCGCACAACAGAGGUGAAUUUCUGAGGAACUCCUGCCGCUCUGCAGAAACUAUGUUCUCGAAAACAACAGUUUUGAGAAAAAAUGGCUAAAAACGGCAUAAUCAUAAUCAAAAGACCUCUGGGAACACUUUUACAAUAGAUCAAAAGAUCUUCUUCACUGUUAGACUGAAAUUGACAGUUUUUUUUAUAUGCAGAUUUUCUUUUUAAUGUAAAGUAACACCACAUUCUUCCAAUUUAGUUUCCAGUUUUGCAUUGUCCAAGCCAGAUAUUACAUUUAGUCAUUCAUAUUUGACAGUUUAAUUAGUUACUUCGUAAAAAAGUAACUUCAAUUUCGAAGAAAGUUUAAAACCCAAAUGUUUUUGAAGAAAAUCUGUGUUCAAAGAUGUUUUAUUAUCUUUUACAUGAGCACCUUAAAAGAAAAAUAUUAAAAAUACAGGGAAGAAUUAGUUGU
rnacentral:lncRNA from 1 species